rnacentral:rRNA from 1 species
AUUGAACGCUGGCGGCAUGCCUUACACAUGCAAGUCGAACGGCAGCACGGGUGCUUGCACCUGGUGGCGAGUGGCGAACGGGUGAGUAAUACAUCGGAACGUACCUUAUCGUGGGGGAUAACGCAGCGAAAGCUGUGCUAAUACCGCAUACGCCCUGAGAGGGAAAGCGGGGGAUCGCAAGACCUCGCGCGACUAGAGCGGCCGAUGCCUGAUUAGCUUGUUGGUGGGGUAAAAGCCCACCAAGGCGACGAUCAGUAGCUGGUCUGAGAGGACGAUCAGCCACACUGGGACUGAGACACGGCCCAGACUCCUACGGGAGGCAGCAGUGGGGAAUUUUGGACAAUGGGGGCAACCCUGAUCCAGCAAUGCCGCGUGAGUGAAGAAGGCCUUCGGGUUGUAAAGCUCUUUUGUCAGGGAAGAAACACCGGCUCUAACACAGUCCGGGAAUGACGGUACCUGAAGAAUAAGCACCGGCUAACUACGUGCCAGCCGCCGCCGUAA